rnacentral:tRNA from 1 species
UCCCUGGUGGUCCAGUGGUUAGGACUCCACACUUUCACUGCCAUGGGCCUGGGUUCAGUCCCUGGUUGGGGAA